UGGGUCUUUGGGUCUUCAAGAGAUUGGGGUUGGGUCUUAGGGUCAUGGGCGUUGGGUUUUGGGGUCUUGGGGAUGUUGGCGUUGGGUGUUGGGGUCUUGGGGAUGUUGAUAUUGGGUCUUGGGGUCUUGGGGACAUGGAGAUGGGUCUUGGGGACGUGGGCGUUGGGUCUUUGGGUCUUCAAGAGAUUGUUUUUUGGGGUCUUGGGGAGAUUGGGGUUGGGUGUUCGGGGUCUUGGGGAUGUGGGCGUUGGGUGUUGGGGUCUUGGGGACGUUGGUUUUGGGUCUUGGGGACGUUGGCGUUGGGUGUCGGGGGCUUGGGGACGUUGAUACUGGGUAUCGGGGUCUUGGGGACGUGGACGUUGGGUGUCGGGGUCUUGGGGACGUUGUUGUUGGGUGUCAGGGGCUUGGGGACAUGGAGAUGGUCUUGGGGUCUUGGGGACAUGGGGUCUUGGGGACAUGGGUGUUGGAUUUUGGGGUCUUGGGGACGUUGGCUUUGGGUUUUGGGGAUGUGGGUGUUGGGUGUCGGGGUCUUGGAGACAUGGAGAUGGGUCUUGGGGACAUUGGCGUUGGGUGUUGGGGUCUUGGGGACGUUGGCUUUGGGUUUUGGGGAUGUGGGUGUUGGGUGUCGGGGUCUUGAGGACAUGGAGAUGGGUCUUUGGGUCUUCAAGAGAUUGGGGUUGGGUUUUGGGGACAUGGGUGUUGGGUAUCAGGGUCUUGGGGACGUUGGCGUUGGGUUUUGGGGUCUUGGGGAUGUGGGUGUUGGGUGUUGGGGUCUUUGGGACAUUGGCGUUGGGUCUUCAAGAGAUUGGAGUUGGGUUUUGGGGACAUGGGUGUUGGGUAUCGGCGUCUUGGGGACGUUGACAUUGGGUGUCGGGGUCUUGGGGACAUUGACAUUGGGUUUUGGGGACAUCAGCGUUGAGUUUUUGGGUUUUGGGGACAUCCAGAUGUGUCUUGGGGACAUUGACGUUGGGGUUUUGGGUCUUGAGGACAUCAGCGUUGGGUUUUUGGGUUUUGGGGACAUUGCCUUUGGGUCUUGGGGACGUUGACGUUGGGUUUUGGGGACAUCAGCGUUGAGUUUUUGGUUUUUGGGGGACAUUGCCUUUGGGUCUUGGGGACAUUGACGUUGGGUUUUGGGGACAUCAGCGUUGAGUUUUUGGGUUUUGGGGGCAUCAAGAUGUUUUUUGGGGACAUUGGCAUUGGGUUUUUGGGUUUUGGCGACAUCAGCGUUGGGUUUUGAGCCCAUUAGCGCUGAAUUUGGCUCUUUUCGAGCUUUUUUCGCUGCCCUGC
rnacentral:lncRNA from 1 species